GAUUUAUAAAGAAGAGGUGAGAGACAGGCUCGAUGACCCUCUGGCAACCUGGAAAUACCAAGGUGCCAAUUCCUGCCAGAAGAUUCUGGAAAUAUAAAUU
rnacentral:ncRNA from 2 species